rfam:Ictidomys tridecemlineatus contig021535, whole genome shotgun sequence.
UGGGUUGUGGCUCAGCGGUAGAGCACUCGCUUAGUACGUGUGAGGUCCUGGUUUUGAUCCUCAGCACCACAU